rnacentral:rRNA from 1 species
UACAGAGGUCUCAAGCGUUGUUCGGAUUCAUUGGGCGUAAAGGGUGCGUAGGUGGCGGGGUAAGUCAGGUGUGAAAUCUCGGAGCUCAACUCCGAAACUGCACUUGAUACUGCCUUGCUCGAGUAUUGGAGAGGAGAUUGGAAUUUACGGUGUAGCAGUGAAAUGCGUAGAUAUCGUAAGGAAGACCAGUGGCGAAGGCGAAUCUCUGGACAAUUACUGACACUGAGGCACGAAGGCCAGGGGAGCAAACGGG